CCUAACAAUUUGCUUUUCAUUUUAACAUCUUUCUCUCUUUCCAGGCUGCUCCGUGGAAGAACUCACACAAGGGCGUGCUGCAGUGACACUGGAAACUUCUGGCAAAUAUGGAAAGGAAACAGCAAAACAAUAACAUUCUAAUCCUCUGCAAAUAUAAUCACCUAAGAGGCCACUGGAGAGAAGAGGAACAAACACAUGCAAAUAUGGCCUUGCAUAUGACUUAGCUCCUGAAAGGACACAAUUCUAAUUCACCCACUGUGAAAAAAAGGACUCCUCUAAGAAAAAAGUGUUCUCAAAAGACGAAAUAAGCUGCAACUUUCCAGCUUUGUUCUGGGACCCUCUCCAAGCAGUACAAGAGGAGGACAGUGCGGAAGUCCACCUUACAGCCUACAGAUUAGCAAUGAUGCUCCACCUGACAGCUUCUUGUUUUGUAUGGACUUCACCUUGCACAGUGUUCAGGACUGCACARUGAUUUUAGUGUGCCUGGGAUCAGUCUGCGGAAGCCUACAUUAUCAACCACCAGAGACCUUGAAGAACAGGAACAUUUAAUCCACACACAAAUAUAUGAACAAGAACCUUUUAGGAACUGUUUCUAAAACUCUUUAAAUUACUCACAAUGARUGAAAAGUAAAAUAUUUCAUUUCAUUUGUUUGUUGCUAAUUAAUUUUUUCACUUCUUUCAUCUUCAUAUUAGACAGUGAAGCUAAGACACUCAAUUCCACUUCUGUUUC
rnacentral:lncRNA from 1 species